AUUGAACGCUGGCGGCAGGCCUAACACAUGCAAGUCGAGCGGAUGAAGGGAGCUUGCUCCUGGAUUCAGCGGCGGACGGGUGAGUAAUGCCUAGGAAUCUGCCUGGUAGUGGGGGACAACGUCCGGAAACGGGCGCUAAUACCGCAUACGUCCUGAGGGAGAAAGUGGGGGAUCUUCGGACCUCACGCUAUCAGAUGAGCCUAGGUCGGAUUAGCUAGUUGGUGGGGUAAAGGCCUACCAAGGCGACGAUCCGUAACUGGUCUGAGAGGAUGAUCAGCCACACUGGAACUGAGACACGGUCCAGACUCCUACGGGAGGCAGCAGUGGGGAAUAUUGGACAAUGGGCGAAAGCCUGAUCCAGCCAUGCCGCGUGUGUGAAGAAGGUCUUCGGAUUGUAAAGCACUUUAAGUUGGGAGGAAGGGCAGUAAGUUAAUACCUUGCUGUUUUGACGUUACCAACAGAAUAAGCACCGGCUAACUUCGUG
rnacentral:rRNA from 1 species